GGUUUCUUGUUUAAUUUUUAAGAGAUCAAACCUGCCCACUGAAUUAUUUUUAAGGGCCGCAGUAUUUUGACUGUGCAAAGGUAGCAUAAUCAUUAGUCUAUUAAUUGUGGACUAGAAUGAAUGGUUUAACGAAGUAAAUUCUAUUUUUUUUAUAUUUUUAUUUGAAUUUUGGUUUUUAGUAAAAAAACUUAAAUUAUAUUAAGGGACGAGAAGACCCUAUAGAGUUUAAUAAAAUGAUAUUUUAUGAAGUUUUUAAUAAAUUAUGUAUUUUUUUAUUUGAUUGGGGUGAUUUAAAGAUAAUUGAAAUUUUUUAUUAUUUUAAAUUAAUUUUUAAAUUGUUUGAUCCAUAAUUUAAUUAUGAUUAUAAGAUUAAAUUACCUUAGGGAUAACAGCAUAAUUUUUUUUGAGAGUUCUUAUUGAAAAUUAAGAUUAUGACCUCGAUGUUGGAUUAAGAUAAAUUUUUGAUGUAGAUGUUUAAUAAUUGGGUCUGUUCGACCUUUAAAAUCUUACA
rnacentral:rRNA from 1 species